ensembl:lncRNA
AUGCCGGAAACAGGCGCAUGGGGUAAUUUGCCAAAUCUCAGAAUCAGGGAAGCUGUAAACAUGGGCAUUGUAGUCCUGAGUUGCAACAUGUUUCUGACUCAGUCUCCUGCCAGUAUGGAUUUGUACUUGCCUGUGAUUUAUUUUGUUUCUGGCUUACCCUGGGGCAUUGGAGGGCUGGAGACUUCUGCCAGAACACCUAGGAUAUGUGAAGAGUUCCUGCCAGAAACCAAUAAUAUACUUGAUCAUCGAUAUCAUGUACUGCACUCCCCUAGCCCCUGCCUGAGUCUUCCUCUGGCAAAACUCCAAGGCUCUUCAACUUCUCUGCCUUUGAGAAGUAACUGAGAAAUAACAAGCUCUGCCACCACCAGUUGGGCUGAACACCUGGGAUGCAAUGCGGGUAGCCACCAAGGUCACUGCAAUGAUACACAAACAAUGACAACAGUGAAACCAUGUCUCAGGGACAAAGGGUAAGAACCAGUGCAAUGCUGACUGUGGAAAGGAACACCGUGACAGCUGUCAGCAAAAGCAUUUCAGUUCCCCUUCUCCUUGUGACUUUGGGUCAAUCAUUUCUCCUCCCUGCCUGUCAUCUUUCUCAUCUGUACCAUGAAAGUUGGCUGAGGUCUUUCUAUCAGUGGGAAUGUGGAUAUUCUUAAGUAGGUGGGGAAAUCCAAUAGGCAUCCUGAUACCUCCCUCCUGGGGAUAUCCUAGGGUGACACUUACCCAGGUUGCUCUCCACUGCCAGCAGUAUGCAAGAUUUGCCUCGGUGUCAACUGUACAUUCAGUUCUAUUUUCUCCUAAGAGUUGCACUCAUUGAGAUUGUCUUCAAGACUGAUGUGUUAUCGUCACUGGCUUAUGUCAAUAAGCUCCGUUCCUUUGCUCCAGAUCUAUGAGCAGAAUGUUUUGGGACCUCAGGUCAGCAUUUUGUAAAUCCACAGUGGUAAUCUCCUGUUCCUGCCUCUUGGCCCUGUGAAGUAAUGCUGUUGGCUUCCAGGACUUCUGCAGGGCCUAAGAGCUUGGCAGCUUCGGGACCAUCUAAGGUGACUUAUGACUGUUAUUCCACCCUGAGGUUUAGGCCUCAGCCACAAAGCAAGAGAUCCGUGGUUCCUGGCACCUGGCUUCUGGAAAGUUAAACUGUCAUCUACCUCUUUGUCUGAUCAAGCAGUUCAGCAGCCCUUCAGUUUAAAUAACAACUACAAAAUAAAUAUCACAGAGAACUCUCAGCAAGGUUUCAUUAGUGCAGGAAAAUGUAACAUUCAAAUUCUGGACAAUAUUGUCAUGUGCGUUCAUUUUCCUUCCUGCGCAAACCUUCCCACAACGAUUCCCGUAAAGAAAAUUAAUUUGGCAUAAGGAGUUUGGGCAAAGAAGGCUGCUAGGUGGGUCAGCCAUCCGGCCAUCCUCAAGAGGCUGUGUACUGGGAAUCUGGUGAGCAGCUGAGUUAGGGGCUGCUGAUGGAAGUUCAGAGGGCAUUGGAAAAUAAACCCGGUGAAGGAGGAGAAAGCACGGCUUGGACCAGCAGGAAAGUUGAUAUGCUUGGUUCAUGUAACAGUUACUUAUUCUUUCUAAGCCACCUAUACUUAUUUCCAGAAGAGGCAAUAAAUCUUAGUAAAGUAUUCAGAUUCUGGAGUCAGACUACCAUGGGUUUUUAACCUUGGCCCUGAGGUUUCCUCACUGUGUGCCCUCGGUCAGGCUUUUUACUCUCUUGAAGCCUUUGUUUUUUCUCCUUGUAAAUGAGGAUGAAUAUACCUAUCUUUCCAGAGCUGAGGGUUACGGGAGAUGAUAUACAUGACAGUGUCAACAUAGUUGAUACUAUCUACAGCCCAGUUCCAGGAGAUCAACCCACUUGCUGAAUGGGCAAUAAACCUUCAAUAAAUGUCUUGUGAUUAAGUUACAUACUACGGGAAGAUAUUCCAAUUAUUGUUUACAAAAUACACU